UACGUAGGGGGCAAGCGUUGUCCGGAUUUACUGGGUGUAAAGGGCGCGCAGGUGGGCUUGAUAGUUAGAGGUGAAAUCCUGUGGCUUAACUGCAGAACUGCCUUUAAUACUUCAAGUCUUGAGUGCGGAAGAGAGAGACGGAAUUCCAGGUGUAGUGGUGAAAUACGUAGAUAUCUGGAAGAACACCAGUUGCGAAGGCGGUCUCUUGGUCCGUAACUGACACUUAGGCGCGAAAGCGUGGGGAG
rnacentral:rRNA from 1 species